rnacentral:rRNA from 1 species
UACGUAGGGUGCGAGCGUUGUCCGGAAUUACUGGGCGUAAAGAGCUCGUAGGUGGUUUGUCGCGUUGUUCGUGAAAACCUGAGGCUUAACCUUGGGCGUGCGGGCGAUACGGGCAGACUGGAGUACUGCAGGGGAGACUGGAAUUCCUGGUGUAGCGGUGGAAUGCGUAGAUAUCGGGAAGAACACCGGAGGCGAAGGCGGCUCACUGGGCCGGAUCCGACACUGAGGCGCGAAAGCGUGGGGAGCAAACAGG